rnacentral:rRNA from 1 species
GACGAACGCUGGCGGCGUGCUUAACACAUGCAAGUCGAACGAUGAAGCCCCUUCGGGGGUGGAUUAGUGGCGAACGGGUGAGUAACACGUGGGCAAUCUGCCCUGCACUCUGGGACAAGCCCUGGAAACGGGGUCUAAUACCGGAUACGACCCAGGACCGCAUGGUCUCUGGGUGGAAAGCUCCGGCGGUGCAGGAUGAGCCCGCGGCCUAUCAGCUUGUUGGUGAGGUAACGGCUCACCAAGGCGACGACGGGUAGCCGGCCUGAGAGGGCGACCGGCCACACUGGGACUGAGACACGGCCCAGACUCCUACGGGAGGCAGCAGUGGGGAAUAUUGCACAAUGGGCGUAAGCCUGAUGCAGCGACGCCGCGUGAGGGAUGACGGCCUUCGGGUUGUAAACCUCUUUCAGCAGGGAAGAAGCGCAAGUGACGGUACCUGCAGAAGAAGCGCCGGCUAACUAC